rnacentral:misc_RNA from 1 species
AAGUCGUAACAAGGUUUCCGUAGGUGAACCUGCGGAAGGAUCAUUAACAAAAGAGUGUGUGAAUGGGUGGUGUGUGGUUGGUGGGGGGGCGCAGUGUGUGGUAGGGUUAGGGUGUUAGGGUUAGGGGGAAUACUCUCCCAGCUCCUAUGGCCUAUGGCCUAUGGCCUUCUACUGCUACUGUGCACUCUCUCUCUCGCUCGCUCGCUCAUUCAUGUACAUUGACCCGGGCAAGUGCGCGAUGGUGUGGAGACGCCAUGGCUGUGCUGGUCCGAUACAUUCACGCUUGUUUGUAUGACAGAG